UUCUUACUGGGAGGCAGCAGUGGGGAAUAUUGCACAAUGGGCGCAAGCCUGAUGCAGCCAUGCCGCGUGUAUGAAGAAGGCCUUCGGGUUGUAAAGUACUUUCAGCGGGGAGGAAGGUGUUGAGGUUAAUAACCUCAGUCAAUUGACGUUACCCGCAGAAGAAGCACCGGCUAACUCCGUGCCAGCAGCCGCGGUAAUAC
rnacentral:rRNA from 1 species